rnacentral:rRNA from 1 species
GGGUUUGAUCCUGGCUCAGGAUGAACGCUAGCGGCAGGCCUGACACAUGCAAGUCGAGGGGUAAGUCUCGCUUCGGCGGGAACACGACCGGCGCACGGGUGAGUAACGCGUAUGCAACCUACCUUCAACUGGGAGAUAGCUCCCGGAAACGGGGAUUAAUAUCCCAUAGUGUUUUUUUUCGGCAUCGUAAAAAAAUUAAAGCUCCGGCGGUUGAAGAUGGGCAUGCGUGACAUUAGCUAGUUGGUAAGGUAACGGCUUACCAAGGUUACGAUGUCUAGGGGGUCUGAGAGGAUGAUCCCCCACACUGGUACUGAGACACGGACCAGACGUCUACGGACGGCAGCAGUGAGGAAUAUUGGGCAAUGGACGAAAGUCUGACCCAGCCAUGCCGCGUGCAGGAUGACAGCCCUAUGGGUUGUAAACUGCUUUUCUGCGAGAAGAAACUUUCCGACGUGUCGGAAAUUGACGGUAUUGCAAGAAUAAGCAUCGGCUAACUCCGUGCCAGCAGCCGCGGUAAUACGGAGGAUGCAAGCGUUAUCCGGAUUUAUUGGGUUUAAAGGGUGCGUAGGCGGGAGAUUAAGUCAGUGGUGAAAUCCUGCAGCUUAACUGUAGAAUUGCCAUUGAUACUGAUUUCCUUGAGUGUAGUUGAGGUGGGCGGAAUGUGUAUUGUAGCGGUGAAAUGCAAAGAUAAUACACAGAACACCUAUUGCGAAGGCAGCUCACUAAACUAAUACUGACGCUGAGGCACGAAAGCGUGGGGAGCGAACAGGAUUAGAUACCCUGGUAGUCCACGCUGUAAACGUUGAUUACUCGAUGUGUGCGAUACACUGUACGCAUCUGAGCAAAAGCAUUAAGUAAUCCACCUGGGGAGUACGAUCGCAAGAUUGAAACUCAAAGGAAUUGACGGGGGCCCGCACAAGCGGUGGAGCAUGUGGUUUAAUUCGACAAUAAGCGAGGAACCUUACCAAGGCUUGACAUCCCGGGAAUUCUGCAGAAAUGCGGAAGUGCCUUCUGGAACCCGGUGACAGGUGCUGCAUGGUUGUCGUCAGCUCGUGCCUUGAGGUGUUCGGUUAAGUCCGUGAACGAGCGCAACCCUUGUUCUAUGUUGUAUUUUUCAUAGAAGACUGCCUCGCAUAACGAGGAGGAAGGUAAGGAUGACGUCAAAUCAGCAUGGCCCUUAUGCCUUGGGCUACACACGUGCUACAAUGGCCGGUACAGAGGGUAGCAAUACCGUAAGGUGGAGCCAAUCCCUAAAACCGGUCUCAGUUCGAAUUGAGGGCUGCAAUUCGCCCUCAUGAAGUUGGAAUCGCUAGUAAACGCGUAUCAGCAAUGGCGCGUUGAAUAUGUUCCUGGGUCUUGUACACACCGCCCGUCACAUCACGAAAGGUGGGGGUGCCCGAAGUCCCGUUACCGCAAGGGGCGGGCCUAAGGCAAAACCACUGAUUGGGAUGAAGUCGUAACAAGGUAGCCGU